rnacentral:rRNA from 1 species
AUUGAACGCUGGCGGCAUGCUUUACACAUGCAAGUCGAACGGUAACAGGUUAAGCUGACGAGUGGCGAACGGGUGAGUAAUGCAUCGGAACGUGCCCGAUCGUGGGGGAUAACGCAGCGAAAGCUGCGCUAAUACCGCAUACGAUCUGAGGAUGAAAGCGGGGGACCGGAAGGCCUCGCGCGAUCGGAGCGGCCGGUGUCCGAUUAGGUAGUUGGUGGGGUAAAGGCCCACCAAGCCGACGAUCUGUAGCUGGUCUGAGAGGACGACCAGCCACACUGGGACUGAGACACGGCCCAGACUCCUACGGGAGGCAGCAGUGGGGAAUUUUGGACAAUGGGCGAAAGCCUGAUCCAGCAAUGCCGCGUGCAGGAAGAAGGCCUUCGGGUUGUAAACUGCUUUUGUACGGAGCGAAAAGGUCCUUUCUAAUACAAGGGGCUCAUGACGGUACCGUAAGAAUAAGCACCGGCUAACUACGUGCCAGCAGCCGCGGUAAGAC